UACGGAGGGGGCUAGCGUUGUUCGGAUUUACUGGGCGUAAAGGGCGCGUAGGCGGAUUUUUAAGUCAGGGGUGAAAUCCCAAGGCUCAACCUUGGAACUGCCUUUGAUACUGGGAAGCUUGAGUCCGGGAGAGGUGAGUGGAACUGCGAGUGUAGAGGUGAAAUUCGUAGAUAUUCGCAAGAACACCAGUGGCGAAGGCGGCUCACUGGCCCGGAACUGACGCUGAGGCGCGAAAGCGUGGGGAGCAAACAGG
rnacentral:rRNA from 1 species